AUUGAACGCUGGCGGCAGGCCUAACACAUGCAAGUCGAACGGUAACAGGAAGUAGCUUGCUACUUUGCUGACGAGUGGCGGACGGGUGAGUAAUGUCUGGGGAUCUGCCUGAUGGAGGGGGAUAACUACUGGAAACGGUAGCUAAUACCGCAUAAUGCCGCAAGACCAAAGCGGGGGACUUUCGGGCCUCGCACCAUCAGAUGAACCCAGAUGGGAUUAGCUAGUAGGUAGGGUAAUGGCUUACCUAGGCGACGAUCCCUAGCUGGUCUGGGAGGGAGACCAGGCAAACUGGAACUGAGACAAGGUCCAGACUCCUACGGGAGGAAGCAGUGGGGAAUAUUGCACAAUGGGCGCAAGCCUGAUGCAGCCAUGCCGCGUGUAUGAAGAAGGCCUUCGGGUUGUAAAGUACUUUCAGUCAGGAGGAAGGGUGUGAAAUUAAUACUUUCAUGCAUUGACGUUACUGACAGAAGAAGCACCGGCUAACUCCGUGCCAGCAGCCGCCGUAA
rnacentral:rRNA from 1 species